AAUUUACGCUAAUACCGCAUGAGAUCUACGGAUGAAAGCAGGGGAUCGCAAGACCUUGCGCGAUUGGAGCGGCUGAUGUCAGAUUAGGUAGUUGGUGGGGUAAAGGCCCACCAAGCCGACGAUCUGUAGCUGGUUUGAGAGAACGACCAGCCACACUGGGACUGAGGCACGGCCCAGACUCCUACGGGAGGCAGCAGUGGGGAAUUUUGGACAAUGGGCGAAAGCCUGAUCCAGCAAUGCCGCGUGCAGGAAGAAGGCCUUCGGGUUGUAAACUGCUUUUGUACGGAACGAAAUAGCCUUGGUUAAUACCCGGGGUUGAUGACGGUACCGUAAGAAUAAGCACCGGCUAACUACGUGCCAGCAGCCGCGGUAAUACGUAGGGUGCAAGCGUUAAUCGGAAUUACUGGGCGUAAAGCGUGCGCAGGCGGUUAUAUAAGACAGUUGUGAAAUCCCCGGGCUUAACCUGGGAAUUGCAUCUGUGACUGUAUAGCUAGAGUACGGUAGAGGGGGAUGGAAUUCCGCGUGUAGCAGUGAAAUGCGUAGAUAUGCGGAGGAACACCGAUGGCGAAGGCAAUCCCCUGGACCUGUACUGACGCUCAUGCACGAAAGCGUGGGGAGCAAACAGGAUUAGAUACCCUGGUAGUCCACGCCCUAAACGAUGUCAACUGGUUGUUGGGUGCAUUAGUACUCAGUAACGAAGCUAACGCGUGAAGUUGACCGCCUGGGGAGUACGGCCGCAAGGUUGAAACUCAAAG
rnacentral:rRNA from 1 species